UUUACGGAUGGGACUGAAUAUGCUUAUAGAUAGCAUUUGAGGCGUGGAUAAAACAAGGUCUCAUUCUUUUACAGGGUUGGUAAAGAAUGAAGAACAGGAUUCUAUUCAUCCUACAUCAUUUGAUAGAAUUAGUGCUUUGGAGGACUGGAUCAGGAAAAGGACUUGAUCUCAGAAGACUAUGCAAACUCAGAUUGGAUGGCACUUGAUCCACCUUGUGCUAACACAAGGCUCCUAGGACCUUCCCAUGAUGAAGUUGAAGAGUUGGGUGCAGGGUUUGAUGAUUAUGAAAUUUUGAAUAGAGUGAAAGACACUGUGGAAAACAACGUGGAAGAUAAUUAGUAGAACAGCUUUCAUCUACACAUUUUAAGUACUCACACGGAUGAGUGGUUGCUUUUGCACUGUAAUCCGCUAUAGAGUAGUAGUAAUUUAUGAUUAACAUUAGAGACCAUUAUCUGAUGUAAAUGGUUUAGGAUUCCGGUAAUUGUAGAGAUGAUCACUAGGAAAACUAAACUAGAUUAUGGUGAACAACAUUUGAUAAUGACACAACUGUUGCUCAGUGUCCAUUGGUUGCAGUGUUUUCAGUACCUUUUCAAAGAAGCGUCUACGUACUAGUUAGGUGGUUUUGAUGUUCGGAAAAAUUGUGUUGUAACUGCAAAUUAGUGAAAUAAGUCUGUAUGCUAAGCAUAUUUCUGUAUAUUUCAUAUGAUAUUUGAAUAGAAUUUUUAAGUAUUUUAAGCAUUUUGAAUCAAGAGAAUUUUGAAUAAAGAAUUUUAAGCAUUUUGAA